GACGGACGCUGGCGGCGUGCUUAACACAUGCAAGUCGAACGGAAAGGCCCUGCUUUUGUGGGGUGCUCGAGUGGCGAACGGGUGAGUAACACGUGAGUAACCUGCCCUUGACUUUGGGAUAACUUCAGGAAACUGGGGCUAAUACCGGAUAGGAGCUCCUGCUGCAUGGUGGGGGUUGGAAAGUUUCGGCGGUUGGGGAUGGACUCGCGGCUUAUCAGCUUGUUGGUGGGGUAGUGGCUUACCAAGGCUUUGACGGGUAGCCGGCCUGAGAGGGUGACCGGCCACAUUGGGGCUGAGAUACGGCCCAGACUCCUACGGGAGGCAGCAGUGGGGAAUAUUGCACAAUGGGCGGAAGCCUGAUGCAGCAACGCCGCGUGCGGGAUGACGGCCUUCGGGUUGUAAACCGCUUUCGCCUGUGACGAAGCGUGAGUGGCGGUAAUGGGUAAAGAAGCACCGGCUGACUACAUG
rnacentral:rRNA from 1 species